rnacentral:rRNA from 1 species
UACGUAGGGUGCAAGCGUUGUCCGGAUUUAUUGGGCGUAAAGAGCUCGUAGGCGGUUUUUCGCGUCUGCUGUGAAAACUCGGGGCUUAACCCCGGGCCUGCAGUGGGUACGGGCAGACUAGAGUGCGGUAGGGGAGACUGGAAUUCCUGGUGUAGCGGUGAAAUGCGCAGAUAUCAGGAGGAACACCGGUGGCGAAGGCGGGUCUCUGGGCCGUAACUGACGCUGAGGAGCGAAAGCGUGGGGAGCGAACAGG